GAAGCCCAGCUUGCUGGGUGGAUUAGUGGCGAACGGGUGAGUAACACGUGGGUGAUCUGCCCUGCACUCUGGGAUAAGCCUGGGAAACUGGGUCUAAUACCGGAUAUGACCUCGGGAUGCAUGUCCUGGGGUGGAAAGUUUUUCGGUGCAGGAUGAGCCCGCGGCCUAUCAGCUUGUUGGUGGGGUAAUGGCCUACCAAGGCGACGACGGGUAGCCGGCCUGAGAGGGCGACCGGCCACACUGGGACUGAGACACGGCCCAGACUCCUACGGGAGGCAGCAGUGGGGAAUAUUGCACAAUGGGCGCAAGCCUGAUGCAGCGACGCCGCGUGAGGGAUGACGGCCUUCGGGUUGUAAACCUCUUUCACCCAUGACGAAGCGCAAGUGACGGUAGUGGGAGAAGAAGCACCGGCCAACUACGUGCCAGCAGCCGCGGUAAUACGUAGGGUGCGAGCGUUGUCCGGAAUUACUGGGCGUAAAGAGCUCGUAGGCGGUUUGUCGCGUCGUCUGUGAAAUCCCGCAGCUCAACUGCGGGCUUGCAGGCGAUACGGGCAGACUCGAGUACUGCAGGGGAGACUGGAAUUCCUGGUGUAGCGGUGAAAUGCGCAGAUAUCAGGAGGAACACCGGUGGCGAAGGCGGGUCUCUGGGCAGUAACUGACGCUGAGGAGCGAAAGCGUGGGUAGCGAACAGGAUUAGAUACCCUGGUAGUCCACGCCGUAAACGGUGGGCGCUAGGUGUGGGUUUCCUUCCACGGGAUCCGUGCCGUAGCCAACGCAUUAAGCGCCCCGCCUGGGGAGUACGGCCGCAAGGCUAAAACUCAAAG
rnacentral:rRNA from 1 species